CCAAUAGCGUAUAUUAAAGUUGUUGCAGUUAAAAAGCUCGUAGUUGAAUUUCGGGAUCAAUAUGUCGGUCGUGCUUUUGGUACGUACUGGCAUCAUUGGUUUCUCCCUUCUGACAAACCAUGAUGUCAUUAAUUUGGUGUUAUGGGGAGUUAGGACUGUUACUUUGAAAAAAUUAGAGUGUUUAAAGCAGGCAUUAGCUUGAAUACAUUAGCAUGGAAUAAUGAAAUAGGACGUUUGACCCUAUUUUGUUGGUUUCUAGGAUCGACGUAAUGAUUAAUAGGGAUAGUUGGGGGCAUUAGUAUUCAAUUGUCAGAGGUGAAAUUCUUGGAUUUAUUGAAGACUAACUACUGCGAAAGCAUUUACCAAGGAUGUUUUCAUUAAUCAAGAACGAAAGUUAGGGGAUCGAAGACGAUCAGAUACCGUCGUAGUCUUAACCAUAAACUAUGCCGACUAGGGAUCGGAUGAUGUUAAUUUUUUAAUGACUCAUUCGGCGCCUUACG
rnacentral:rRNA from 1 species